UCUAAGCUACUGUUCCUUCCUAGGAUUGUUGAAGCCAUCACAGGUAAACCAAAACACUGUGCGGUGACAUUUGGCACGACCGAGUCAGUAGUGAUUAUAAGGUGACAGGGCUAUUCGAUGCUUUCUACGACGUUUUAAGUUUAGGUCAAAGACCUCUUUGCGUUGUCCUUGACUGAAGCUUCCUGUUCAGUGUCACUCUACAGCACACUUUCAUUAAAGACGCAUGAUAUCAUUAUUGCAAAAAAACAUGUCAUUCUCUAAAAUGAAACAGCACCAGAUUAGAGUGCUCUGGCUCCUUUUUUGGCGCUCUGUACAACUUUUAGGGUUCAAAAAACAAUAGCUGCAUACAAGAAACAUUCCAUUCCAAAUUUAAGUUUAAAUGUAAAAGUUUCUAAGGUUUGUGACUGAAAUCAUGCUAAAAAGAUAAGAUAGGAUUCUAUAUAAUGGCCCCUUCUGCCUAUUGAAGGAGUAAAGAACUUUUUACAUUAUUGUAAAUUGUAUUAUUUGGUACAUUGCACAAAUACAGUAUGUCAUUUUUGCAUACCGCCCCAGUGACAGCUUUUGUACCCUUUUUUCUGAGAGUGCACACACACAAAACCUUUUUUUUUUUCCAAAUGUUUCAUAUUUCAAAAGAUUUCAGGCCAUUUCAAAACACCUAAUUUGAUAACAAAAUGGCUGCAUAACUUCACUAAAGAGUAUAUAAUAAUCCUUUAUAAAGGACAUUUUCUCAAUUAUAUGUCUGUCACUGUAAACACUGUGCCAUACUGUGCCAUUCAUAUUCUCUCAUGUCCAUUUAAAACAAAUGUUACAGUUUCUAUCAUAUGUUCGGUAUGUGAAGGGUAACUGUAAGUCAGGCAUCUAGGUUAAAGUCCAAAUCAGCUUAUUGGGACAACUGGGGUACCCAGGUACCCUCCAUGUGAGAUCCUAAUUAGUAUUGACAAGGAUGCAGCCCAAACCUUCCUAAUCCCAAUGGAUUGAUGGUUCAGUUUAGGGAAAGCAGGGUUUAUCUGAAAAUCUUGAUGAGGUCAGUUUUAAUCUCUCCCUGUUUCUGACGAUUGGCAUUUUCUUUUCUUUUUUUUUUUUCAGCCAUCGGCUUCUCCAUCUAUUGUGGCAAAGUAGAGCAGGAGGAAGUGAACACUAGGGUGUGAACAGACCAAACCAGGGCGAGGAUGGAGCCAACACGAAGACGAGAGCAGUCUGUACAUUUUUUAUUCUAUCAGUUGUUUCCUGUUCAUUUUUAAACUGGCAAAGAAUUGUACUGAUGUGUAGGUGUUUAUCCAAAACAGGUAUUUGUUUAUUGUGAUCUUUUACAGUUCCUUUUAAACUGGAAGCUAAUCAAAAUAAAUUGAAGUUUAAUAGAUUGCUGGAAUGUAUAUCUACGCUUUGGUGGGAUUAAGAAUCAAGAAUCAAGAAUCAAUUUUUGUUGCUAUAUCACUGUGUCAAUCACAGAUUUUCAGAGAUGUAGUUGAAAAGGAUGUUCUGGAUGGAUCAGAAAGUAUCAUGGGGCAGCACUCAGUCAGUCCUAUGUCUGGAAUUCCGCUAGUUCUGAACUAUUCGUGAUUGGCAAAAGUUCACUACUAGCAGAACUCGGAUAUACAACUGAAUUCUCAACGAAAGCUCAAGAUAAUAGUUUGGUCUCACAUGGUCUGCCAUUGGACGCUAUAUUCACGGUAUUUAGUACUGAACAUUUAUUGAACAAUUUUUGCAUUUGUGAAUGGAAUUAAUCCAUAUAAUAGAUGUUAAUCUAACAUGGGCAAAACUUUGCUUUCACUGCUCAGUGUUUCUCUAACAUCAUUUGUGGUUUAAUUUCUAGAUUAACUAAGUUGAUAUUGUUCUUGAAUCGAUUGUGUUGGGCUAGUUUGGAAAUGACAAAAGCUAAUUUCAUAUUCUUUCUUUGCACUUUUAUCUUGAUUUGAAAGUGAACUACUUAUUGGAUGAAGUAAGAAGAGGUUAAGACCAUCCCUCGAUGUGUUACUUCAUUACUCAUGGGCUACGGACUUGAUUACAAUCGCAUAUAUGAGAUACUUCUCUGUUUUCAUGUUUUAGUUGUUGUGAAAUGGUGUGCUCACUGCAUUUAAAACAGGAAGAAACAAGACUAAUGUAAUAUAAUAUAAACUAUUGUAAUGUAUGUCACAAUUCUGGAACUGAUCAAUUUAACAACGCAAUUCUGUCUUUCUUUCUUUGCAUUUAUUGUACAUUUUUAUUCAUAAUUAUGAACUUCUACUCAUUCUACUUGUUCAGCAAGCCAAGACCAAGUUACACAAAUUUUGACAUUAAAAGCAAAAAUUCCUA